UACGUAGGGUGCGAGCGUUGUCCGGAAUUACUGGGCGUCAAGAGCUUGUAGGUGGUUUGUCGCGUUGUUCGUGAAAUCUCACGGCUCAACUGUGAGCGUGCGGGCGAUACGGGCAGACUAGAGUACUGCAGGGGAGACUGGAAUUCCUGGUGUAGCGGUGAAAUGCGCAGAUAUCAGGAGGAACACCGGUGGCGAAGGCGGGUCUCUGGGCCGAGACUGACGCUGAGGCGCGAAAGCGUGGGGAGCAAACAGG
rnacentral:rRNA from 1 species